rnacentral:rRNA from 1 species
CGACUCCAUGAAGCUGGAUUCGCUAGUAAUCACAGGUCAGCAUACUGUGGUGAAUACGUUCCCGGGCCUUGUACACACCGCCCGUCACACCAUGAGAGUUGAGAAUACCCGAAGCCCAUGUCAAAGUGGUCGAAGGUAGGCUUGAUGAUUGGGGUGAAGUCGUAACAAGGUACC